rnacentral:rRNA from 1 species
GACGAACCUUGCUAACGUUAUUCGGAAUUACUGGGCUUAAAGGGUGCGUAGGCGGUGCAGCAAGUCGGGUGUGAAAGCCCUCAGCUCAACUGAGGAAUUGCGCCCGAAACUGCUAGUGCUUGAGGAAUACAGAGGUAUGCGGAACUUAGGGUGGAGCGGUGAAAUGCGUUGAUAUCCUAAGGAACACCGGUGGCGAAAGCGGCAAUACCUGGGU